GUAGGGGAGCAAGCGUUAUCCGGAUUUACUGGGUGUAAAGGGCGCGCAGGCGGGAAGACAAGUUGGGGAGUGAAAUCCGGGGGCUCAAACCCCCGAACUGCUUUCAAAACUGGUUUUUCUUGAGUGAUGGAGAGGCAGGCGGAAUUCCCAGUGUAGCGGUGAAAUGCGUAGAUAUUGGGAGGAACACCAGUGGCGAAGGCGGCCUGCUGGACAUUAACUGACGCUGAGGCGCGAAAGCGUGGGGAGCAAACAGGAUUAGAUACCCUGGUAGUCCACGCCGUAAACGAUGGAUACUAGGUGUGGGAGGUAUUGACCCCUUCCGUGCCGGCGUUAACACAAUAAGUAUCCCACCUGGGGAGUACGAUCGCAAGGUUG
rnacentral:rRNA from 1 species